CCUUGCUUCAGCCAACAUGCGUGUGGUCGUUCUCUCUCUUAGCAGGGGUCGAGGCCAUUGCUCACGGCUGGGGCUCAGCACAUCUGAAUCUCCGCUUGUGGUACAUGUCCCCAUAUCUGUUCAGGGUGGCGCUACAAGAUCAAAUCGAAACCAGAUCACAUGGCAGCUCAGUCUGAUUUGUUCAUAAGAAAGCAAUGAUCAAAAGUAUUCGUCGGAAUGUUGGCUGUUACUCUCCUUUUCGGCGUACAAAGCUGCUAAUGUCAUGGCAUUCAACUUCUAUUGCCAAGAUAAAUGGAUCAUGCAUGGCUCAGAUGUUGAUUGCAAGGCCAAGAAUGGGGUUACUAUUAGAUAAUUAGAAUGUCAUUUUCACGAUCAAUGUUUCAAACAUUGUAGUAGAUUGCAAGGUCGAGAAUUAUGAUAAAACUAGAUAGUUUCACAUCUUGUAAUCUUUGGAUCAUGUUCUAUGCAACGC